GUCCACGCCGUAAACGAUGAGUGCUAGGUGUCUCGGGUAUUGACCCCUGAGGUGCCGUAGCUAACGCGUUAAGCACUCCGCCUGGGAACUACGGCCGCAAGGCUAAAACUCAAAGGAAUUGACGGGGGCCCGCACAAGCGGUGGAGCAUGUGGUUUAAUUCGACGCAACGCGCAGAACCUUACCCGGGCUAGAAAAACAAGGAACGCUCUAGAAAUAGAGAAGUGCCCCUAACAGGGAACCUUGGUCCAGGUGCUGCAUGGCUGUCGU
rnacentral:rRNA from 1 species